rnacentral:rRNA from 1 species
CAAGAWWUCCAGGAGGAACCCCGAUGGCGGAAGGCAGUCUCUGGCAUCUACUGACGCUGAGGAGCGAAGCAUGGGAGCGACCAGGAUAGAUACCUGUAGUCAUGCGUAACGUGGCACUAGGUGUGGGAACAUUCCACGUUUCCGCGCGUAGCUAACGCAUUAAGUGCCCCGCCUGGGGAGUACGGCCGCAAGGCUAAAACUCAAAGGAAUUGACGGGGGCCCGCACAAGCGGCGGAGCAUGCGGAUUAAUUCGAUGCAACGCGAAGAACCUUACCAAGGCUUGACAUGUUCCAGACCGCCUCAGAGAUGGGGUUUCCCUUCGGGGCUGGUUCACAGGUGGUGCAUGGUUGUCGUCAGCUCGUGUCGUGAGAUGUUGGGUUAAGUCCCGCAACGAGCGCAACCCUCGUUCCAUGUUGCCAGCACGUAAAGGUGGGGACUCAUGGGAGACUGCCGGGGUCAACUCGGAGGAAGGUGGGGAUGACGUCAAAUCAUCAUGCCCCUUAUGUCUUGGGCUUCACGCAUGCUACAAUGGCCGGUACAAUGGGUUGCGAUACUGUGAGGUGGAGCUAAUCCCUAAAAGCCGGUCUCAGUUCGGAUUGGGGUCUGCAACUCGACCCCAUGAAGUCGGAGUCGCUAGUAAUCGCAGAUCAGCAACGCUGCGGUGAAUACGUUCCCGGGCCUUGUACACACCGCCCGUCAAGUCACGAAAGUUGRRKACACCCGAAGCCGAUGGCCUAACCACCU